GGGUUGUGAGGUUAAGCGACUAAGCGUACACGGUGGAUGCCCUGGCAGUCAGAGGCGAUGAAGGGCGUGCUAAUCUGCGAUAAGCGCCGGUAAGGUGAUAUGAACCGUUAUAACCGGCGAUACCCGAAUGGGGAAACCCAGUGUGAUUCGUCACACUAUCAUUAACUGAAUCCAUAGGUUAAUGAGGCGAACCGGGGGAACUGAAACAUCUAAGUACCCCGAGGAAAAGAAAUCAACCGAGAUUCCCCCAGUAGCGGCGAGCGAACGGGGAGGAGCCCAGAGCCUGAAUCAGCAUGUGUGUUAGUGGAAGCGUCUGGAAAGGCGCGCGAUACAGGGUGACAGCCCCGUACACAAAAGCGCAUGUGCUGUGAGCUCGAUGAGUAGGGCGGGACACGUGGUAUCCUGUCUGAAUAUGGGGGGACCAUCCUCCAAGGCUAAAUACUCCUGACUGACCGAUAGUGAACCAGUACCGUGAGGGAAAGGCGAAAAGAACCCCGGCGAGGGGAGUGAAAAAGAACCUGAAACCGUGUACGUACAAGCAGUGGGAGCACAGGUUUACCUGUGUGACUGCGUACCUUUUGUAUAAUGGGUCAGCGACUUAUAUUCUGUAGCAAGGUUAACCGUAUAGGGGAGCCGGAGGGAAACCGAGUCUUAACCGGGCGUUAAGUUGCAGGGUAUAGACCCGAAACCCGGUGAUCUAGCCAUGGGCAGGUUGAAGGUUGGGUAACACUAACUGGAGGACCGAACCGACUAAUGUUGAAAAAUUAGCGGAUGACCUGUGGCUGGGGGUGAAAGGCCAAUCAAACCGGGAGAUAGCUGGUUCUCCCCGAAAGCUAUUUAGGUAGCGCCUCGUGAAUUCAUCUCCGGGGGUAGAGCACUGUUUCGGCUAGGGGGCCAUCCCGGCUUACCAACCCGAUGCAAACUGCGAAUACCGGAGAAUGUUAUCACGGGAGACACACGGCGGGUGCUAACGUCCGUCGUGAAGAGGGAAACAACCCAGACCGCCAGCUAAGGUCCCAAAGUCAUGGUUAAGUGGGAAACGAUGUGGGAAGGCCCAGACAGCCAGGAUGUUGGCUUAGAAGCAGCCAUCAUUUAAAGAAAGCGUAAUAGCUCACUGGUCGAGUCGGCCUGCGCGGAAGAUGUAACGGGGCUAAACCAUGCACCGAAGCUGCGGCAGCGAACGUAUCACUUAAAGCGAUUCAGCGGGUUACGAUUGACGGAGCGAAGCGACGUCAAAGCGUAUACAAAGUCGAGUCGGUUUAAGGAUACGUUCGUUGGGUAGGGGAGCGUUCUGUAAGCCUGUGAAGGUGGCCUGUGAGGGUUGCUGGAGGUAUCAGAAGUGCGAAUGCUGACAUAAGUAACGAUAAAGCGGGUGAAAAGCCCGCUCGCCGGAAGACCAAGGGUUCCUGUCCAACGUUAAUCGGGGCAGGGUGAGUCGACCCCUAAGGCGAGGCCGAAAGGCGUAGUCGAUGGGAAACAGGUUAAUAUUCCCGUACUUGGUGUUACUGCGAAGGGGGGACGGAGAAGGCUAUGUUGGCCGGGCGACGGUUGUCCCGGUUUAAGCGUGUAGGUGUGUGUUCCAGGUAAAUCCGGUUCACUUUAACACUGAGGCGUGAUGACGAGGCACUACGGUGCUGAAGCAACAAAUGCCCUGCUUCCAGGAAAAGCCUCUAAGCAUCAGGUAACACGAAAUCGUACCCCAAACCGACACAGGUGGUCAGGUAGAGAAUACCAAGGCGCUUGAGAGAACUCGGGUGAAGGAACUAGGCAAAAUGGUGCCGUAACUUCGGGAGAAGGCACGCUGACACGUAGGUGAAGUGAUUUACUCAUGGAGCUGAAGUCAGUCGAAGAUACCAGCUGGCUGCAACUGUUUAUUAAAAACACAGCACUGUGCAAACACGAAAGUGGACGUAUACGGUGUGACGCCUGCCCGGUGCCGGAAGGUUAAUUGAUGGGGUCAGCGCAAGCGAAGCUCCUGAUCGAAGCCCCGGUAAACGGCGGCCGUAACUAUAACGGUCCUAAGGUAGCGAAAUUCCUUGUCGGGUAAGUUCCGACCUGCACGAAUGGCGUAAUGAUGGCCAGGCUGUCUCCACCCGAGACUCAGUGAAAUUGAACUCGCUGUGAAGAUGCAGUGUACCCGCGGCAAGACGGAAAGACCCCGUGAACCUUUACUAUAGCUUGACACUGAACAUUGAGCCUUGAUGUGUAGGAUAGGUGGGAGGCUUUGAAGCGUGGACGCCAGUCUGCGUGGAGCCGACCUUGAAAUACCACCCUUUAAUGUUUGAUGUUCUAACGUGGACCCGUAAUCCGGGUUGCGGACAGUGUCUGGUGGGUAGUUUGACUGGGGCGGUCUCCUCCUAAAGAGUAACGGAGGAGCACGAAGGUUGGCUAAUCCUGGUCGGACAUCAGGAGGUUAGUGCAAUGGCAUAAGCCAGCUUGACUGCGAGCGUGACGGCGCGAGCAGGUGCGAAAGCAGGUCAUAGUGAUCCGGUGGUUCUGAAUGGAAGGGCCAUCGCUCAACGGAUAAAAGGUACUCCGGGGAUAACAGGCUGAUACCGCCCAAGAGUUCAUAUCGACGGCGGUGUUUGGCACCUCGAUGUCGGCUCAUCACAUCCUGGGGCUGAAGUAGGUCCCAAGGGUAUGGCUGUUCGCCAUUUAAAGUGGUACGCGAGCUGGGUUUAGAACGUCGUGAGACAGUUCGGUCCCUAUCUGCCGUGGGCGCUGGAGAACUGAGGGGGGCUGCUCCUAGUACGAGAGGACCGGAGUGGACGCAUCACUGGUGUUCGGGUUGUCAUGCCAAUGGCACUGCCCGGUAGCUAAAUGCGGAAGAGAUAAGUGCUGAAAGCAUCUAAGCACGAAACUUGCCCCGAGAUGAGUUCUCCCUGAGACUUAGAGUCUCCUGAAGGAACGUUGAAGACGACGACGUUGAUAGGCCGGGUGUGUAAGCGCAGCGAUGCGUUGAGCUAACCGGUACUAAUGAACCGUGAGGCUUAACCUUACAACGCCGAAG
rnacentral:rRNA from 1 species